UACGUAGGGUGCAAGCGUUGUCCGGAAUUAUUGGGCGUAAAGAGCUCGUAGGCGGUCAGUCGCGUCUGCUGUGAAAACUCGGGGCUUAACUCCGGGCCUGCAGUGGGUACGGGCAGACUAGAGUGUGGUAGGGGAGACUGGAAUUCCUGGUGUAGCGGUGAAAUGCGCAGAUAUCAGGAGGAACACCGGUGGCGAAGGCGGGUCUCUGGGCCGAUACUGACGCUGAGGAGCGAAAGCGUGGGGAGCAAACAGG
rnacentral:rRNA from 1 species